GAUGAACGCUGGCGGCGUGCCUAAUACAUGCAAGUCGAGCGAACAGACGAGGAGCUUGCUCCUCUGACGUUAGCGGCGGACGGGUGAGUAACACGUGGAUAACCUACCUAUAAGACUGGGAUAACUUCGGGAAACCGGAGCUAAUACCGGAUAAUAUAUUGAACCGCAUGGUUCAAUAGUGAAAGACGGUUUUGCUGUCACUUAUAGAUGGAUCCGCGCCGCAUUAGCUAGUUGGUAAGGUAACGGCUUACCAAGGCAACGAUGCGUAGCCGACCUGAGAGGGUGAUCGGCCACACUGGAACUGAGACACGGUCCAGACUCCUACGGGAGGCAGCAGUAGGGAAUCUUCCGCAAUGGGCGAAAGCCUGACGGAGCAACGCCGCGUGAGUGAUGAAGGUCUUCAGAUCGUAAAACUCUGUUAUUAGGGAAGAACAAAUGUGUAAGUAACUAUGCACGUCUUGACGGUACCUAAUCAGAAAGCCACGGCUAACUACGUG
rnacentral:rRNA from 1 species